rnacentral:rRNA from 1 species
AUUGAACGCUGGCGGCAGGCCUAACACAUGCAAGUCGAACGAGUGGCGGACGGGUGAGAAAUGUCUGGGAAACUGCCUGAUGGAGGGGGAUAACUACCGGAAACGGUAGCUAAUAACGCAUACCAUCGGAUGUGCCCAGAUGGGAUUAGCUAGUGGGUGGGGGAAAGGCUCACCUAGGCGACGAUCCCUAGCUGGUCUGAGAGGAUGAACAGCCCCACUGUAACGGAGACACGUUCCAGACUCCUCCGGGAGGCGGCAGUGGGGAGUAGUGCACAGUGGGAGCAGGGCUGAUGCAGCCAUGCCGCGUGUAUGUAAAAGGCCUUCGUGUUGUAAAGUACUUUCAGUGGUUAGGCGGUACCCGCUGAAGAAGCACCGGCUAACUCCGUGCCAGCCGCCGCGGUAAUAC